rnacentral:tRNA from 1 species
GAGGGUACAGCUCAAGUGGUAGAGCGCGUGCUUGGCAUGCACGAGGCUCCUGGGUUCAAUGCCCAGUGCCUCCA